GGAAUUUUGGACAAUGGGCGCAAGCCUGAUCCAGCAAUGCCGCGUGAGUGAAGAAGGCCUUCGGGUUGUAAAGCUCUUUUGUCAGGGAAGAAACGGAUUUUUCUAAUACAGAGAUCUAAUGACGGUACCUGAAGAAUAAGCACCGGCUAACUACGUGCCAGCAGCCGCGGUAAUACGUAGGGUGCAAGCGUUAAUCGGAAUUACUGGGCGUAAAGCGUGCGCAGGCGGUUUUGUAAGACUGUCGUGAAAUCCCCGGGCUCAACCUGGGAAUGGCGAUGGUGACUGCAAGGCUAGAGUUUGGCAGAGGGGGGUAGAAUUCCACGUGUAGCAGUGAAAUGCGUAGAUAUGUGGAGGAACACCGAUGGCGAAGGCAGCCCCCUGGGUCAAAACUGACGCUCAUGCACGAAAGCGUGGGGAGCAAACAGGAUUAGAUACCCGGG
rnacentral:rRNA from 1 species